GCGGCCUGCGGGGUGGGGUGUCAGAACGGUGACGUGCGUGUUGCCGGGACACCACAAAGGGACCGAGACCACGCCAGCAGCCAUGGGGCAGCUGCUCUGCAAGGACAUAGGCACAAAGGAUUCGGCACAAGACUUCACCAAUGAGAAACAAACCAUUCCUACACCCCGCAUUUCUGUGACACCGCCCCUGGAUGAAUGCACUGAAGCAAUGUCAAUGGAAGGUCCUCCCACCAAGGCAGCAACCAGCGGGGGAGCUGGGCAGAGCCAGGAGCCGGACAGCGGGGCGAACAAGGAGAAGCCAUGACCCACAGGCAGAGGCUGCUCAUUGCCCACCAUGACUCCUGCGUGCUUACGGACAGGGAGACCACCAGAGCCCACCCUUGAGCCUGGCCCUCCCCAGCUGGAGAGGAGCCGGGCAAUAAAAGCGAGUGCUUGGAA